CACGUAGGGUGCGAGCGUUGUCCGGAAUUAUUGGGCGUAAAGGGCUCGUAGGCGGUUUGUCGCGUCGGGAGUGAAAACGCCGUGCUUAACACGGCGCUUGCUUUCGAUACGGGCAGACUAGAGGUAUGCAGGGGAGAACGGAAUUCCUGGUGUAGCGGUGAAAUGCGCAGAUAUCAGGAGGAACACCGGUGGCGAAGGCGGUUCUCUGGGCAUUACCUGACGCUGAGGAGCGAAAGUGUGGGGAGCGAACAGG
rnacentral:rRNA from 1 species